UACGGAGGGUGCAAGCGUUAUCCGGAUUCACUGGGUUUAAAGUGUGCGUAGGUGGGCAGGUAAGUCAGUGGUGAAAUCUCCGGGCUUAACUCGGAAACUGCCAUUGAUACUAUCUGUCUUGAAUACCGUGGAGGUUAGCGGAAUAUGUCAUGUAGCGGUGAAAUGCUUAGAUAUGACAUAGAACACCAAUUGCGAAGGCAGCUGGCUACACGAAUAUUGACACUGAUGCACGAAAGCGUGGGGAUCAAACAGG
rnacentral:rRNA from 1 species